AUGCUUUGCUUUGGCAGCAUAUAUACUGCCAAAUUGGAACAGUACAGAGAAGAUAAGUGUGGCUGCUGCACUAGAAUGAUACAAAAAUUUCCUAAAUGUUCCUUUA
ensembl:snRNA U6 U6 spliceosomal RNA